UACGAAGGGGGCUAGCGUUGCUCGGAAUCACUGGGCGUAAAGCGCACGUAGGCGGAUCUUUAAGUCAGGGGUGAAAUCCCAAGGCUCAACCUUGGAACUGCCUUUGAUACUGGGGAUCUCGAGUCCGGAAGAGGUGAGUGGAACUGCGAGUGUAGAGGUGAAAUUCGUAGAUAUUCGCAAGAACACCAGUGGCGAAGGCGGCUCGCUGGUCCGGUACUGACGCUGAGGUGCGAAAGCGUGGGGAGCAAACAGG
rnacentral:rRNA from 1 species